rnacentral:rRNA from 1 species
GUACACUCCUGCGGGAGGCAGCAGUGGGGAAUAUUGCACAAUGGGCGCAAGCCUGAUGCAGCCAUGCCGCGUGUAUGAAGAAGGCCUUCGGGUUGUAAAGUACUUUCAGCGGGGAGGAAGGCGAUAAGGUUAAUAACCUUGUCGAUUGACGUUACCCGCAGAAGAAGCACCGGCUAACUCCGUGCCAGCAGCCGCGGUAAUACGGAGGGUGCAAGCGUUAAUCGGAAUUACUGGGCGUAAAGCGCACGCAGGCGGUCUGUCAAGUCGGAUGUGAAAUCCCCAGGCUCAACCUGGGAACUGCAUUCGAAACUGGCAGGCUAGAGUCUUGUAGAGGGGGGUAGAAUUCCAGGUGUAGCGGUGAAAUGCGUAGAGAUCUGGAGGAAUACCGGUGGCGAAGGCGGCCCCCUGGACAAAGACUGACGCUCAGGUGCGAAAGCGUGGGGAGCAAACAGGAUUAGAAACCCCUGUAGUCCCAUGAU